GAUGAAGAACGUAGCGAAAUGCGAUAAGUAAUGUGAAUUGCAGAAUUCAGUGAAUCAUCGAAUCUUUGAACGCACAUUGCGCCCGCCAGUAUUCUGGCGGGCAUGCCUGUUCGAGCGUCAUUUCAACCAUCAAGCCCCCGGCUUGUGUUGGGGACCUGCGGCUGCCGCAGGCCCUGAAAAGCAGUGGCGGGCUCGCUGUCACACCGAGCGUAGUAGCAUACAUCUCGCUCUGGGCGUGCUGCGGGUUCCGGCCGUUAAACCACCUUCAUAACCCAAGGUUGACCUCGGAUCAGGUAGGAAGACCCGCUGAACUUAAGCAUCUCAAUAAGCGGAGGA
rnacentral:misc_RNA from 1 species